CCUACGGGAGGCAGCAGUGGGGAAUAUUGGACAAUGGGGGGAACCCUGAUCCAGCCAUGCCGCGUGUGUGAAGAAGGCCCUCGGGUUGUAAAGCACUUUCAGUGAGGAAGAACGCCUGUGGUUAAUACCCAUCAGGAAAGACAUCACUCACAGAAGAAGCACCGGCUAACUCCGUGCCAGCAGCCGCGGUAAUACGGAGGGUGCGAGCGUUAAUCGGAAUUACUGGGCGUAAAGCGCGCGUAGGUGGCUUGAUAAGCCGGUUGUGAAAGCCCCGGGCUCAACCUGGGAACGGCAUCCGGAACUGUCAAGCUAGAGUGCAGGAGAGGAAGGUAGAAUUCCCGGUGUAGCGGUGAAAUGCGUAGAGAUCGGGAGGAAUACCAGUGGCGAAGGCGGCCUUCUGGACUGACACUGACACUGAGGUGCGAAAGCGUGGGUAGCAAACAGGAUUAGAUACCCCAGUAGUC
rnacentral:rRNA from 1 species